rnacentral:tRNA from 1 species
GAUGAUGAUCCCAAGCCUUCUGGCAAUCCGUAGCAAGUUCUUUGUAAAACUUGAAAAAAGUAUUUUUCUUAAAAGAAUGCUUAUCAUGCGAUAAAGCCGGGGAAGGUUUUCCGGUUUAUCCCGGAGGGCUUGUAGCUCAGUUGGUUAGAGCGCGCGCUUGAUAAGCGUGAGGUCGGAGGUUCAAGUCCUCCCAGGCCCACCAAUUAUUCAUCCUUUGAAAAAGCGCUUAUAACGUUCAAUUUGUAACGUGCGACUGGUCGGGUUCGAAAAGACGUGUUUAUCACUUUUGGUAAGAUAUGGCAUUUAUCUGUUUUUUAAAGUGAGUGAAAGCAAAGGCGGUUUAAGGUAAAGAUCUCUCAAUAGGGUGAUCUUUAGAGAUAAGGAUCUUUAAGACACAGGGUUUUUUAGGCACAGGCACUCUUUUAAUGCAGGGUUUUUGCAUGGAAAAAUAAAAUUCCAGCUGUUUCUCUAAGUGCUCAAUUUCCUGAAUAUCCAAUCCUCAGGUGUUAAAAGUCCAUGACUUAGAGUUAAGUAUUGGGGAGUUAAAAUCUUCAAGGAUUGAAACUUCAAGCGUGUGAGGUUUCAGUGUUAAAGAGCUGUUUGAGAGAGGCUUUGGAUAAAUGAAGCGUUUAUAGGGGGCCGUAGCUCAGCUGGGAGAGCACCUGCUUUGCAAGCAGGGGGUCGUCGGUUCGAUCCCGUCCGGCUCCACCAUUUGGUCAUCAUCAUUGUUGUGAGAACACACUUUAGUGGGAGGUUUAGAAACCUUUUGCUUGUUCU